rnacentral:rRNA from 1 species
UACAGAGGUCUCAAGCGUUGUUCGGAUUCAUUGGGCGUAAAGGGUGUGUAGGUGGCGCGCUAAGUCGGGUGUGAAAUUUCGGAGCUUAACUCCGAAACUGCAUUCGAUACUGGCGUGCUUGAGGACUGGAGAGGAGACUGGAAUUUACGGUGUAGCAGUGAAAUGCGUAGAUAUCGUAAGGAAGACCAGUGGCGAAGGCGAGUCUCUGGACAGUUACUGACGCUGAGGCACGAAGGCCAGGGGAGCAAACGGGG